UUGACAUGUCGAUGGUCGCGUGCGCUUGGCUGAAAUCUGCUAAUUAACUGGCAAAUUAGAGAAGUGAAUGGUCUGGACGUUGCAGUAAUGACAGCGUGUGAUGUAGAAAAGGGUCACUAAGCUGACAUAUAUGAAAAGAGAAGCAGGUUUUGUUGUCUCUGUGAGUAGUGAAUGGUUGAUGUAUGAGCUUGUUUUAAUUAACAGCACAAUAAAGCAAUUGUGGUGUAGAGCAACAUUCUACAAGCCACCCCCGAAUUCCCAUGGCUCAGUCUUUGGUCAUGGCAGGCACCGACUAUCAUUCCUCUCUGUGCGGAGCAACCGACAAGCUAGUGGAUAUGAGUUCGCAUGCUUCCGUCGGGGUGGAGUUGAAAAAAUUGUCUUCAUCGGUGAUGUACUCUGCAGAAGAAACCUCCCAGGUCAUCCCCUGGUUUCUGAUUUGGAGAUCUCUGAUGGGAUUCUGGGGGAUCAGGUUUUGUAAACUCCAAAGACAACCUUUCUCCUGAAGGUGGUGGUACUACAAUGAACUUGCUUCAAUUAUCAUCACAACUUCAACGUGUGGAGGAUCAAAGGCAAUCCAUCCAUUUGAAGGAGCAAAAUGAUGUUUUCGGUUGUCGCAGCAUCACUUGAGCAUUCCAAGACAAGGUACAAGGAAAUCCUUGAAACCUUCAUUUGCUUGAUGGAUUUCUUCCAGGUUCCUUAAACAAAACAGGAGAACUAUAGAUCCAGUAGGUAAUGAGAAAAUGAAGGCCAGAACCAAUGUUAGGCAUAUUGUUAUUCCUUGCACAAGCUCGGCUAGACCUCAGCUUAUCCCAGACAUAAUAUGCUGUUACAGCAGUGGAGGCCGUACCAUAAUUUUUACUGAGAUGAAGGAAUCUGCUUCUCAACUUUCUGGAUUAUCACCUGGAGCACGGCCCUUGCAAGGAGACAUACAGCAAGCCCAAUGAGAGUCAAAUGAUGAAUGUGCAUAAUCUUUAGAGAUACUAAUACGCGUAAGAGUAUUAACGUUGUAACACACUGAAGAGGAGAUGAACAAAGAAGAUAGAGCAUGGUUUAUUAUACUAAAUUACAUGACUACAAAUAGUUGGUUUGCCUGCUCUCUAGUUGUCAACCACAUAUAGCAGGUCUGGCAAGUAUAUGAUAUUAGUGGCCACGAAUGUGGCGGCAUGUGGAUUGGACAUCAAUGAUGUCCAGUUAAUUAUCCAGGUAUGCUGGAUAAUUCAUGUGGCAAUACUGGAGUAGAUGUCAUGCUGUUCGAUCCAAGAAGGGCAAAUGUAUCUAAGAUCGAAAGAGAGUCUUGGGGUAAAAUUUGAACACAUUGCUGCUCCGCAGCCAAGUGAUGUUGCUCAAACUGCUGGUGUUGAAGCUGCAGAAUCAAUAAGACAUUUCUGAUAGUGUCAUUACAGCAUUCAAGUCUGCAGCCGAGCAACUACUGAACAGGUCAGGCAUGUCAGUAGUUGAAUUACUUGCAAAGGCUCUUGCCAAGGCUUCUUUAAUCCCAAAGGAAGCUUUCCAAUUGCUUUCCCAUAAAUUUCAUGGAAAAGGGCCUGGCAAAAUGAAGCAAGAGAAGCGCGUAAAGCAAUACCAGGAAGAAUUGAAGUUGAAGCAGAUGAAGAAUUCAGACACGCCUUCUUUGUCUGCAGAGAGGAUGAGGGAAGCUCAAGCUCAAAUGAAGACACCUUAUCUUGUGCUUAGUGGUCAUGUUAAGCCUGGUCAAAACAGUGAUCCAAGAAGUGGCUUUGCCACCAUUGAGAAGGAUCCGGGAGCUUAACUCCCAUGCUUGGAGAUAGGAAGGUUGAGCAUUUAUUGGGGAUAAAGCGGAAGCCUAAGCCUAGUAACUUGCGAGCACCAAAGAAGCCGAAAACUUGAAGUGUUACUGUCAGGUCUUCUAUUAUUUGCUGAGUUCAAGCAACUUACUAUUGGGGCUGGAAGUAACUUCAGGCCUAGGCAUCGAUUGCAGCUCCACAUUACAUUAUUCUAUAUACCUUUUAGCUUUAUCAACUAUGAAGAUCAAAAUAUAGAUGCUCUUGUUGCUUUUGAAGAUGUACUUAGACCUGUAAUGCCAACAAGACAGGCGGCAAUUUUUUAGAAUUCUUUGUUGCCCGAGAAUUGAAUGGCACCUUUAUUAGUGAUCUUCUUCAUUGUUACUGUUCCUAGAAAUGGUUGUACCUGUUCCUAGAGAUGGUUGUACAGAUUAUGUGAUUCACAGGUGGCUAUUUCACAGAUGCUACUCUUGCUGUUAGACAAACGAUUGAGCAAGUGAAAUGCUCUGCAUGUGUUUAUGGAGAGAUAAUGGCCAUC